UACGUAGGGGGCAAGCGUUGUCCGGAUUUAUUGGGCGUAAAGAGCUUGUAGGCGGUUUGUCGCGUCUGCUGUGAAAAUCCGGGGCUCAACCCCGGACUUGCAGUGGGUACGGGCAGACUAGAGUGUGGUAGGGGAGACUGGAAUUCCUGGUGUAGCGGUGAAAUGCGCAGAUAUCAGGAGGAACACCGAUGGCGAAGGCAGGUCUCUGGGCCACUACUGACGCUGAGAAGCGAAAGCAUGGGGGAGCGAACAGG
rnacentral:rRNA from 1 species